CGAUUGUGGGCAAGAUACAGCUGCUGCGCUGGAGGAAAUUACCAGGAUUCAAGAACGCUAGUAGCAUCUCCUGGAUGAUGAAGACCACCUGAAGCACAAACUCACCGAUCCUGCGUGCUAUCUCUUGGAAUCAGAAUUUGCAUCUUUCCUGGCAGUCUUGAGCCACUUUAGAAACUUCAGGAACACGGAUGUUGAAAAUGAAGGCCCUACCAUCUGCCCUGAAGGUGUCCUGUCAUCUUCAUGGCUCAUCUCUCUUUGGGAGUCCUCCCCAUCCCGGCGGAAGCUUUUCAAAUACAAUCAAACAACAUGACUGACUGCACACCCCCGGUACCUCAACUUAUUUGCUUUUUCUUUUUGGGCCAUUAAUGCCUGCCUUUAGUAACCUCGAAUGCCAGGUGGCUGUGCCUAAUGGAAUGAUGUCAACCAGCCUAUCUUAAAUAUGUCUGUUUGUCUUACCCUUGGCUUCUCAUGUGUGCUGCUUGGUUUUAGCUGUCAUUGACAAAACCUAGAAUCACUUGGGAAGAGUUUUAGUAGGAAGCUAUCUAGAUGAGAUUGACCCAUGGGCAUAUCU